CACAAAUUUUUUAAAAGAAAUCUAUGGUUUGGGCCCAGAGUAUGUGUAGCUGAUCCCACCAUUAGUUCCUUAUGUGUUUGGGGGUCAUUUUUAACCUCUAGGCUUGUUUUUCCUCUUCUCAUUUGGGAACAGUAUGGUUAGCUUGAUUGUUUCCAAUAUCCCGUUUCUUUCCUCUUCACACCUGGUUUUGGAUUAUUUCAGUGGUUAAAUGAGGUGCUUUUCCUGAUGGGCAAAAUACACAGCAGGGGCCGAGGGUGCUGCAAGCUUAAGGAUGUAAGAUGAUGACAACCAUAAGCAAAAGAACACAAUUUGAAGAUCUGGUGAGGGGCCUAAGACCUCAUGACAAGGUGUGUAAAUGGGGGAGCCAGAUGAAAGCCAGGUCCUUUGACUCCUAAGCAUGAACUUCACCCAGGGCUCAUAUUUAGAAGAUUGACCAUCCAAGCACCGCAAGGUAAGAGCAAUCGUGACAGAACGACCCUGGAGCUGGGUCCCCCAGACGGGCCCUGAAGGUCUGCACGUCACUGCUUGACCACCCCGCCUGGUGCACACAAGCUGAGUAUGGACUUUGUUAAUGGCUGGUCUGCUCUGGGG
rnacentral:lncRNA from 9 species